rnacentral:rRNA from 1 species
GAGUUUGAACCUGGCUCAGGAUGAACGCUGGCGGCGUGCUUAACACAUGCAAGUCGAAUGUAGCAAUACAUGGCGGACGGGUGAGUAACGCGUGAGCAAUCUGCCCAUAUCUGGGGGAUAACAGUUGGAAACGACUGAUAAUACCGCAUAACAUGGUUUGAAGGCAUCUUCUUUCCAUCAAAGAUUUAUCGGAUAUGGAUGAGCUCGCGUCUGAUUAGCUUGUUGGUGAGGUAACGGCUCACCAAGGCGACGAUCAGUAGCCGACCUGAGAGGGUGAUCGGCCACAUUGGAACUGAGACACGGUCCAAACUCCUACGGGAGGCAGCAGUGGGGAAUAUUGGGCAAUGGAGGAAACUCUGACCCAGCAACGCCGCGUGAAUGAUGAAGGUCUUCGGAUUGUAAAGUUCUUUUCUAAGGGAAGAAGAAAGUGACGGUACCUUAGGAAUAAGCCUCGGCUAACUACGUGCCAGCAGCCGCGGCAAUACGUA